GACGAACCGUGCGAACGUUGUUCGGAAUCACUGGGCUUAAAGGGCGCGUAGGCGGCUUGCCAAGUCGGGGGUGAAAUACUUCAGCUUAACUGGAGAAGUGCCUUCGAAACUGGCAGGCUUGAGGGAGGUAGGGGUCUGUGGAACUUCUGGUGGAGCGGUGAAAUGCGUUGAUAUCAGAAGGAACGCCGGUGGCGAAAGCGACGGACUGGACCUCUUCUGACGCUGAGGCGCGAAAGCUAGGGGAGCGAACGGG
rnacentral:rRNA from 1 species